AAGGGUAUAGCUCAGUGGUCGAGUGUGUGCUUAGCAUGCACAAGGUCCUGGGUUCAGUCCCCAGUACCUCCA
rnacentral:tRNA from 1 species